rnacentral:rRNA from 1 species
UACAGAGGGGGCAAGCGUUGUUCGGAAUUACUGGGCGUAAAGGGCGCGUAGGCGGCCUUCUAAGUCGGAUGUGAAAGCCCCGGGCUCAACCUGGGAAUUGCAUUCGAGACUGAAUAGCUAGGGUGCGGUAGAGGGAAGCGGAAUUUCCGGUGUAGCGGUGAAAUGCGUAGAUAUCGGAAGGAACAUCAGUGGCGAAAGCGGCUUCCUGGACCAGCACCGACGUUCAGGCACGAAAGCGUGGGGAGCAAACAGG